rnacentral:rRNA from 1 species
GACGAACGCUGGCGGCGUGCUUAACACAUGCAAGUCGAACGGAAAGGCCCUGCUUUUGUGGGGUGCUCGAGUGGCGAACGGGUGAGUAACACGUGAGUAACCUGCCCUUGACUUUGGGAUAACUUCAGGAAACUGGGGCUAAUACCGGAUAGGAGCUCCUGCUGCAUGGUGGGGGUUGGAAAGUUUCGGCGGUUGGGGAUGGACUCGCGGCUUAUCAGCUUGUUGGUGGGGUAGUGGCUUACCAAGGCUUUGACGGGUAGCCGGCCUGAGAGGGUGACCGGCCACAUUGGGACUGAGAUACGGCCCAGACUCCUACGGGAGGCAGCAGUGGGGAAUAUUGCACAAUGGGCGGAAGCCUGAUGCAGCAACGCCGCGUGCGGGAUGACGGCCUUCGGGUUGUAAACCGCUUUCGCCUGUGACGAAGCGUGAGUGACGGUAAUGGGUAAAGAAGCACCGGCUAACUACGUGCCAGCAGCCGCGGUGAUACGUAGGGUGCGAGCGUUGUCCGGAUUUAUUGGGCGUAAAGGGCUCGUAGGUGGUUGAUCGCGUCGGAAGUGUAAUCUUGGGGCUUAACCCUGAGCGUGCUUUCGAUACGGGUUGACUUGAGGAAGGUAGGGGAGAAUGGAAUUCCUGGUGGAGCGGUGGAAUGCGCAGAUAUCAGGAGGAACACCAGUGGCGAAGGCGGUUCUCUGGGCCUUUCCUGACGCUGAGGAGCGAAAGCGUGGGGAGCGAACAGGCUUAGAUACCCUGGUAGUCCACGCUGUAAACGGUGGGUACUAGGUGUGGGGUCCAUUCCACGGGUUCCGUGCCGUAGCUAACGCUUUAAGUACCCCGCCUGGGGAGUACGGCCGCAAGGCUAAAACUCAAAGGAAUUGACGGGGCCCCGCACAAGCGGCGGAGCAUGCGGAUUAAUUCGAUGCAACGCGUAGAACCUUACCUGGGUUUGACAUGGAUCGGGAGUGCUCAGAGAUGGGUGUGCCUCUUUUGGGGUCGGUUCACAGGUGGUGCAUGGCUGUCGCCAGCUCGUGUCGUGAGAUGUUGGGUUAAGUCCCGCAACGAGCGCAACCCUUGUUCACUGUUGCCAGCACGUUAUGGUGGGGACUCAGUGGAGACCGCCGGGGUCAACUCGGAGGAAGGUGGGGAUGACGUCAAGUCAUCAUGCCCCUUAUGUCCAGGGCUUCACGCAUGCUACAAUGGCUGGUACAGAGAGUGGCGAGCCUGCGAGGGUGAGCGAAUCUCGGAAAGCCGGUCUCAGUUCGGAUUGGGGUCUGCAACUCGACCUCAUGAAGUCGGAGUCGCUAGUAAUCGCAGAUCAGCAACGCUGCGGUGAAAACGUUCCCGGG